GUCGAGCGGUAGCACAGGAGAGCUUGCUCUCUGGGUGACGAGCGGCGGACGGGUGAGUAAUGUCUGGGAAACUGCCUGAUGGAGGGGGAUAACUACUGGAAACGGUAGCUAAUACCGCAUAANGUCUACGGACCAAAGUGGGGGACCUUCGGGCCUCAUGCCAUCAGAUGUGCCCAGAUGGGAUUAGCUAGUAGGUGGGGUAAUGGCUCACCUAGGCGACGAUCCCUAGCUGGUCUGAGAGGAUGACCAGCCACACUGGAACUGAGACACGGUCCAGACUCCUACGGGAGGCAGCAGUGGGGAAUAUUGCACAAUGGGCGCAAGCCUGAUGCAGCCAUGCCGCGUGUGUGAAGAAGGCCUUCGGGUUGUAAAGCACUUUCAGCGAGGAGGAAGGGUNCNGUGUUAAUAGCACUGUGCAUUGACGUUACUCGCAGAAGAAGCACCGGCUAACUCCGUGCCAGCAGCCGCGGUAAUACGGAGGGUGCAAGCGUUAAUCGGAAUUACUGGGCGUAAAGCGCACGCAGGCGGUUUGUUAAGUCAGAUGUGAAAUCCCCGCGCUUAACGUGGGAACUGCAUUUGAAACUGGCAAGCUAGAGUCUUGUAGAGGGGGGUAGAAUUCCAGGUGUAGCGGUGAAAUGCGUAGAGAUCUGGAGGA
rnacentral:rRNA from 1 species